UAGAAUAGUUUUCCACUGGGAACAUAAUUAGCUCUAGAGAUGGAUCUUUACUGAGCCAGGUAGGGCUUUCCAUUUGUAUAAUAUAUAUUUGAUGAAUAGUGGAAUGAGUUGUGCUUCUUUGCAUUUAACUGACAUGAGGUCUCUAACAAUUCACUCAGGCACAUUGCCUCCAGCAGAAUAAUGGUUUGAUCACUGUAAUAUUUUUCAUGGAUAGUAGUGGUAUGUUGUCAGUUUGCUUUUUGUGUAUCUCAUGGCGUUUCUAUAGGAAAACAGGAAAGUUGCCACUCAGGCCUGAGAAGGAAAAAAUAACCCUGACACUUUCAUUUCGUCUUUGAUAGUAUUAUUCUCUCUGACCAUGCUCAUACUGAAAAUGCACAGAAGCAGCAAUAUUAUUUACUCUAUAUGUCAUUUGAACAGAAGGAUAAAGAGCAGGACUUUAUUAAUAGACUUGUUAUUUCUUUAGAAGUAUUGACUUGCCUGGUUUGGUGUCAACUCAACAUGAAGAGGAAAAGUAAUUCUUGUCUAUAGAAUUUUUGCAAACUAAAACUUAAAAUGAGCAUUUCUGGGGUGGAACCCUGCCUAAGCCUCUGUGCCAUAAGAAAAGUAAUUUCCUGUAGACUCUUCUGGCUGGAAGUGUAGUCAGGGCUGGUUCAAAGUAACACAUCUCAGAAUACUGCUUAUGUGUCCUUAUGCUGGUUCUUUGGGAAGUAGUCUUGUGUCAGUUAUUGUCUGGGUUUUGGUCCAAGUCAAGCUGCUUGGACACAUCUCUCAUUGUAAUAAUUGACAUGCAAUUUCCCUUUUCUUGAUUUAAUGAAGUUGAAAUCACAUUCUCAUUGUUGAAUGUAAUAUACCUGGGUAGAAAAACUCCAUGAAAUUUUUAUAUAUUUAGUUGGUAAUUAACACUUAUCAGAAUAUAAUGUCAUUUGCUUAUCUUGCCUUUUUUUUUACUUCAGAGCUGACAGCACAAAAAUAGCUUGGCUUGACUGAGAGAGACUGUUUUGCUGCAAGUCUAGAAAUUAGCUUUGUCUGCUACUUGCCUACAGAUGUGUGUCUAGGUGAUAGUUUUAAGGUCUGUAUUCUUCCUGAGCUUCCCAGAGAAGCUUUUUUUCAGAGGGUUCCAAACAAGGCAGUAGCAGUUUCACUGCUCAGUCUGCCUUCUUGCCCUCCUGCAAUCCUGUGUACCAUUAGAGGUUGCCACGUUCACCAGCAAACAAAUUUCCUACCAAGCAGGAGUUAGUAGGAGGUGGUAUCUCCACCUGUCCUCUUGAGCAAAGGAAGGAUUCUCGCUUUGUCCCAUUUUCCCUGCGGUGUGGCAUUGCCACCUCUGUAUGGCCAUAAGUAACUAUGAAUCUGGCUGGCUGUUUUGAAGGUAAUUUUCAUCCCUUCCCCACGACAGAGGUCAGUCUGCUUAGCUCAUUGCACAGAAAAACUGCGCUCUGAGUUAUAUGCUCUAUAAGCAAGUCUCACUAAGGUGAUGAAUCACUGAAGGGGAAGAGGCAAGUCUAAAGUAGGAAAGUCUAACAGUCUAUUGUAUCCUUGUCUUAAUUAAAGGUUUGGAGUAGAUGUGAAAAAGAGAUAAUGAACUCUCACUAAAGAGUGGGAGGAAAACCAGCUGCAGGUAGUCUUGACUUCAAACAUGACUGGCAGAAUACCAGCCUGGAACUCAAAUCAUCCUCUUUGCUUCAGUAGUCUAGUGAGAGCAUCUGUUUUCCAUUAGGAUGUUGGUAUUUUAUUUACCUGUUUAUACAGAGGCCUAUUUCUAUUUUCUUGGAAUUAAAUGUAGUUCAAUUUCAGACCAUUCAGGAUUUUUAUAAACAUUAAUCCAGCUGCAAGUAACAAAAGGAAAAAUAGAGAUUCUAUAAAAAACCUUCAUAUGAUUAUGUAGGAGGGGUAGAAAAUGCAUGAUUUAAAUAAAAAUGCAGUCAUAAGACAGAUCUCUCAUUCAAGUGGCUAGAGGUUUAUAGGAAUGAGAUAAUCACUGGAAGUCAAUCUGUCAGUUACUUGUGCCUGUUGUGAAGCACUCGACCUGCUCUGUUCAGUCUGACAGUAAUACUUUCAUGUUUGCCAUUGCUAUAGAGAAUAUGCAGGCAGCCUUCCACACCUACACUACCUCAGUGACAAUUCUUGCAGUGUUUAAAAGACUGAAUGAAGAGAUGGUUAUGUAUUUAUACUCCUCAACCUCUUAAAAUACAAUUCUCAUCUAAGCUUUUGCAGUCCUGUUCCACUCCUCCGCUUGCUGUAAAUCACAACUUUCCACUUCAAUGAAACGUUGUAUGGCACUCCAUGCUCUCCAAGACAAACUGUGCAGGACUCUGUCAUUUUUAAAGUGCAAAGGCAAUGAGACCCUCUUUUGGCAGUGACAGACUGGGAUAAGAGCAGCAAACAGACAUUGAUGCUGGGUACUUUGUUAGCACCAGCAACUUCGUGGAGAGCUGUUUCUUCUGCAAAGUGCAAAGGAACAUUCAAAUCAAACUGAUUGCACAGAGCUGAGAUGAAGGCAAUUCUUACACUGUUUAGCAUCAGUCAAACUAAAAUAUUUCCUAACUUUUCUGUUAAAAAAAAAAGCUUCCCUUUUGAAUGGUUCAUGCUUAACUGAAAUUUUAGACCAAGAGAAGCCCAGCUCAGAAUCCCUUUUUUGUUCCAAGGUUUUGAAAAAAAAUUAAAUUAAUUGAGAGUUUUUGAGGGAUGUUUUGUCCUGAACUGCUUUUACCUGCAAACAAAUAUGAAAACAAAGCCCAGUAAGUUUGUAAGUUCUAUUUUCAAAAGAGUACUUGAGUGGGAAACAUUAAAUGAAAUACUAAUUUUUUCAUUUUGAUGCAUUUGAUUCCAUAGAAAAUGAUCAAUGAAUUGUAACUGCCAGCACUUUUCUGAAAUGCAUUGUAAAAAAUAAUGUAAUAAUUAAGUACAGAAAUGCAUGUUGGUCUCUGAUAUUUUUUACUUAAGAGUCUUCUUGCCUUGGAAGGUAAUAUAUAUUAUGCCAUCCUGAUGGAAUACUACUGUCUUAUAAAGAAAACUAAAUUUGCUAAAUUUUGCAAAUCACCAUAAACAUAAUUACCUCCUGCUGAGAAUCUAAGUGAUUAUUCAUAGCAUCAUUACUUUUAGUAGUUAAGACUUUAAUUUCCUUCAGAAUAUGAUUCUUUCCUUCCUAAAUUAUAAAAGUCAGGCCAAAAAGCUAUGUAUGAUUGGUCAACAUAUAGAAAUUUUGUUAUGUUUGUUCCAUGCCAGAACACACAUUAAAUCUUCACCUUUUAUGGUGAAUCAAAGAAACCUUUAAAUGCUACCUGAGCUGGUAGGGAUCUGUGAGUUAGGAGAGCGACCCAGUCAAGGGAGAAGGAGAUGAUGUGUCUGUCCAUUUGAGCAGAUUUUGAGAGUGUGUGUGAAACCCUUCGGCCAGCAGACAUGUCUCUGUGCUUUCUUCUGCAGCAGCCAAGUUUCUGAUCCUGCAGAGGGCUCAUGAAUAUUUGUGGUGAUUCUUAUUGAAUACAGGGAGCAGAAUUUCACUCCCUGUAAAUUGUUCCAGAUGAGGUUGCUUUCUCCUCUCAAUGCCGGAGAUGGUACUCACCUACACAAACUUUUGGCCAACACAGCAUUCUUCAUUUUUGUUGUGCCUUUCUAAUGUAAUAUGAAACAGAGAAGAGGAUAUAGUCAUAAGGUGGGAGAUAAGACAUCUUCAAAUCUAAGUUAGAUUGAGCUUUGAUUUUAGAUUUUAAUAGGCUGAUUUAACACUAUGCAACUGUUGCUGAUGCAUGCAGCAAAGACAGCCCCAUGUAUUUAUGCACACUGAAUGUUAACAUGGAAUUUGCUUUUUUUUAUUCAACUCAAUUUGCUUCCAAUUUUUCUCUUCCUUUACAUGAUUUCUUUUUUUAAUUCUUACUGGUUGCUAAGUAACUGUAGCAGUAUUGCUGCAGAUGUGCAAUAGGCAUAUCUGCUUACUGUGGUGGUCUUUCUUUUUAAGUAAAAAAAAUACUUCAGCAUAAUAAAAAUUAUACUGAAAGUAAUGAUAGCCUGAUAAAAGAUGGUUUUUAUUAUGCCAGAUUUUUGUGGCCAUGUAUACAUUGUGUCAACUGAUGGUAGAAAGUUUUUGUGAGGAGUGCAUUAUUCUCAAAUGGAUUAUUUUAGCAGCAUCAACCACCAUAGGACUACCUGUCCCAGAGAUUUAUAUGCACAUAGGAUAUGACAUACAGGCAGUCUUGUCACACUGGUGGCAUGUGAGGUGGGAUUUUCUUGACAGCAUACUCAUACUAAAAUAGAAUAGGCCAGAAUUUGCAAGAUCAUGGACUCUGAUUUCUAUCAGCUUCUGUAGAUAUUUCUGGGUAAAUCAUGAAUCUUUUCACUGGCUAAGUUCUAAAAUUUCUACCCCUGAAGGCUGGCAAGUUUCUCUUUGAUUUUUUCAGUACAGUACUCCACUUUAGCCAAAGUUUUAUGGGAACAUAAUGCAUGUGGGUCUCAUGGCAAAAUGAAAGCUCUUGAUUCAUUUGCGUGGCCCCUCACAGAUAAUGUGCAUGUUAUUCAAGUGUCACAGUAGUCCUUUCUGAAUUAAUUUCCCUGAGCAUUGCAGACCUCGUUGUGCUCUUGGUAGUAAGGAAUCUCUACACCAAGUAUUUUGCCUGUUCUGUGUCACCUCUUGGCAGACAGUACUGUAGUUUACUGACUGGUCCAUGUGAGGCACAACACCUAUCUCUGUUAUCAGUUGCUUCUCUGUGUAAGAGAACUGUGUGUGAAAUGUAAGAGUUAAAAUACCUAUUGAUUAUUAAUUUGAGAGGAAAAUAACAGAAUUCAUAUACAUCAGCAAAUGAUUGCUCUACUGAUAGAUUUCAUUUUAGCAUUUACUAAUUUGGGUGUGUGCUAUUUUGUACCUGCAGCAGGAUUUUGAUGUAGAUUUUUAGCAGCAAUUAUAUAGAGAGAGACUGUUCUCUUAGUGUAGGAAAAACAGUAGAGUUGUAAUUGUUGACAUUAUUCAAAACUAAUAAAUGGCAUAUUUUGGAUAUUUUGUUAGUACUUAAUUUAUUGUAUCUAGGUUAGGACGGUUCCAUUUAUUUUGUCUUUUUGUCUUCAGUUUAAUCAAAUGUGUCCAUUAAGUGUAGGAUGUGGCAUUUGAAUUCUCUUAGGGCAUGCUUGCAGGAGAUUGAUUUUUGCCUGUGUUUGCAGAGAGUGAAGGAGUUUGCCCAUGUAAUCUCCAGAAAGGUCAGAUCUUGAUUUAAUAAGUGUAUGAUUCAGGAACAUAAACCUCAUUCUUUAGGACAUCACAUUAAUAUUUAUUGGGGUCUGAAUACUACAAAGACCGACUAAUUAGGUACAGAAUCUUUUGUGUGUUGGUUAAACUGGCUGAAAUCCAGUUUUGCUCAAGAGGGAUUAAAAUUGUUCCAUUACGAUAAAUCUACUAAGCAGGGGACUCAUAUUCCCAUUAGUUCCUAUGGUUCAGACUAGUGUGUAGGUACACCUUUCUUAUGACUAGUAGUUAAUGGCAGUUGACAUUUUUAAUAAAUUCAGUGAAGAAUAUUUUGAAAAGGAAUCAUCUCCUAUUGCUGAUGGUAGAGUAAGAAGUAGGCAUCAGUGAGGGAGCCCAGCACAAGCUAUACAACUGCAUCUCUAAGAGAUGCUGACUGUCCCAACUUAUGCAGCACUUGUCUUGUGCAGAAAGGGAGAGAAGACCAGAAACCUGGGCUAGGAGUGGCUUAAAGGAAAAGAGCCAGAUAUGCUAACAGAAUGCUAACAGUCAGACCCAGUUUUAAAUGUGCAGAAAAAUUAAGACGGCUACUGUAUUGAGACAGUGACAGAAAAGCAACUCUGAAAGUGAAGCAGGGAGAUGAGGCUACUGUCUAAAUAGUGGGCUGAUAUGCACACCUAUAGUCAUAGUACUUCCUAGGUGUGCAAAACAAUAUGAUACAAACACCACCAGGCUGAACUGAGCCUGUAAAUCCACAAGACUCAGUCUGGAUGGGGCCCAGAAUGAGUGCAGCUAUAUUUACAUAGUGCCAGCCCUAAUCAAAUAUGCCCUGCCUCUGGACUCCAUUCAGCUGUUUCUCAAAUACUUUUGAUUACAAAUUUGUGGGUUAGAAAGGAUAAGAUUAGAUAAAGCAAUUACUAAUCUCAGUAUUUUUGUAAAGUGGGAAAGAGAAUGUAUGCAGUGUAACAGCUGAAAAAAAUCCUGAUGCCCCGCUAGAAAAUUCCUAGAAUGAGUGGGCUUGAGAAACACUUGCCACUAAAAGCUCAUGCCUUAUGCUAAGGGAAGAAGCCACAGAGUCAAAACAGAAUUGAAAAAAUAAGGGUGGGAAAGACCUCAAAAAGAAUUAUAUGGCACAGAAGGACACUAAGCAGAACUACCAGAAUUUCUUUUUUUCCAAAGAAAUGUGGAAACUACUGUUCACAGGCAUGCCACCAGAAGGUGCAGAGCCACGUGGGGAUAAGAGUAUGUUCUGUCAGCCCAGGAUGCUCCAGCUGAUCCUGCUUCUUGACAUCACAAAUGGUGAUACAGACCAAGGUAGGGAGGAUACUGAGGAAGCAGGCUCGUGUCUCAUGGGAAUGCUGAAGUGAAGAAAGGGAAGUAAGCACUAUAUAUGUUUGAGGAAAUUGAAGAGAAUGCACUCAAAUGUACCUGUGGUUGAUCAGCUUGGAGGCACUUUCUGGACUAGUCAGUAAGAGACAAAUAUUGAUGGAACUUGCCUGACCUUGAAUCAACAGAAACUUUGUUUUCAUAGAGCGCAUAGCAUCUGAUAACAGAGUGAUUCAGCUAAAGAACUUUGCACCUCUGCACAGUAUCGUCAACAUUAUGGUAACUCUGGAGGGAUAAUGAGAUUCUAAAAAUACUUGGAUGCAGCUGUGGGAAUCUUUGCUCCUGUUAUUUUUUUGUUUGUUUUUCCUUCUGACGAGUAUUAUUCUAAAAUAGAAAAAUAUUACUUCAUAAAACUUCAUUUAAGCCCCAUGCCCCAAAUCUUCAUGACUCUCAUCUCUCACUAAAAGGGAGAAUAAUGGGCAGGGAGCUAACCCAUCUGCAUAAACUAUUUACCCAGAACUCCUGAUGGCGUAAAACCACAGAGAAGUGCUUUCUACUUUUAGUUAUUGGCACACAGGGAAAAGUCAGCCCUCAGAAAGCUUCAUUUGCAUCAACUUUCAACUCAGCCCUUCCCCACUGAUGUUCUUGAACCAUCAUAACAGGAAACAAAUUAAAAAUGGGUUUGAAUAGCAAAACUGAAGUUAAUGCAGGAUUCAGUUUGGAGUCCUUCUCCAGCAGGACUGCAAAGAAAGUGAAGUGUCUUCCAGAAGCUGAAGAGCAUGAUGGCACUUUUGGAUUAGCUCCAGGAGAGCCUCUUUUGUCACAGAGCUAAACAGAGCUGAAACGGUCAUCGUUGGCUGAACUGAAGGACAGGGCUGGGCAGUGUUCCCAAGGGCCUGAAGCCUCUCUGUGAGCCCUCUUGGACAGUACUACAUGAUAAAAACCAUGCACCAAACAGAGAAGUGACAAAUGCAGUCCUGAUGGCUGUGGCCUGAAGGGAAGAGCUGCCUUCCUGCCAGAAGAGGAGGAAGACUCUAUUAACAUCUGGUGACAGGAGGGGAGCAAAGGGGCAGCUCUGAGACACGGUUUGCUGCUGGCGUACUAGGUGAGAUAUUUCUCUUUGUAAUAGGCAGAUGUAUCAUAACACGAGUGAAAUUGUGUAGUUGCAGUACUGGGCGUACAUCUGGGCAAAUCAGCUCAUGCAAAAGCGGUUUGGAGAGCAAAAGUUGUAGACUGACAAGGCAGGACAGGAAGUCUAUUUUGUAAGCCCCCUUUGAACAGCAAAAACCUCUGUGCAGCCCUGUGUGUUACAGGCUCUUGCUGGAGAGCAGAGGGAACUGAGGAGCAGGUGCCAAUAGCAGAGCAGCAGUGAUUACUCACACGAGCUUGGAGCUGCAAAGGCCGUUUGGAGCAACAGGGCAGCUGAGGCAAGGGGCAAGAGCCACCAGCAGAGAUGGCCACAAGCUGAGAUGGAAAUGAUCAUCGGACCUGUGGAGCUUCAGAAGCUGUAGGCCUUGCCUGCCUCCUCAGCAGUGUAGGUAACAUAUCCCCCCAGCCCAACAGCCACAACCUGCAAGACUGUGGUGUUACUGUAGGAUGAGAAAAACAGCCUUGGGGCCCACCACAAGAGAUGAAAGAGAAGGAAUAUAAAUAAUAUGCUUGCACUUCUGGAAAGCAAGCAUUAAAUACUACCCUUCUCCCUUACCACUUCUUCCCUGCUUCAGUGAAAUAUUGUUUCAAUAUUUAAGUUCAUCUGCCAUUUGCAAAUGGGAAUAAUUAGCUCACUUAGUUUUCAGGUUUAUAUUUUUUUCAAGGGUAUAUAUUUAAACUGAUGUUUACUAGAAACUUCCAAACUUAAAACUCAUAUAUUUUGCUGCCAUUAAAACCCUGACAGAAGGGUUGUAUUUUCCUAUCUUCUUAAACAUGGUAUUUCCUGAAGUAUUUUUCAGUUGAUAGUAAGUUCUAAUAAAUACUCAGAAAGGUGUGAGAAGUCCCACAUGCUGCCAUGUACUUCCAUUUACUGCAGGGCAUCAUUGAAUCUUCAGACUUGUUCUUAUUUAAGUUAUAUGUUCCGAUACCUCUCCUCUUAUUACAGCUUGAAUACAUGCUCUAGCUACUUGUAAAAAGCACAAGGUCAUCAACUGUCUCACAGUUGUUUAUGGAGUGCAGCAUUAUGUUAAAUGCCUCUGCCAUACUCAAAAGAGUGGCUCUUCCUUCAGUGGAGAUUGUAUAACAUCAACAAUGAGGCACCAGAAGUGACUGGCAAUCUGAGACCAAUUUGUAUGAGCAGGCUGCAUUCCUCCCACCUACUUCCCUCUGGGGCUAGGAAUGCAAUUGGUAAAGGUGAUUAUAAUGCAUCUUCCUCAUUCUAAGUGUGGGUGUUUGACAGGAUAUUCUUCACAAGGAACCCUGAUGGCUUUGUGAUGCUUUCUUGCUCUUGCUCUGAAAUGUUCUGGAGUUACUCAUUUUGUGGCAUAAAGCUUGGCUCAUUUGUUCUAACUUUCCUUUAAAGAGGGGAACGAAAGCAUGAAAUAUAGGCAUCCCCAUCGACCCUGGAUAGUAGCUUGUGGGAGAAAUUCAAUAGAUCACAUUUUUGCUUUUGCAAUCUGAAACGGCUGAUAGGACAUGUGGUAGUUAAGCUCUUUAAAUUAUACUAAAUUUCAAAAAUAGGAGAAGAAAAUCUUCAACUUAAUAGAAGUUACUGGUAGUUCAGGUAGAAUUUUUAAAAGAUCCUACACCCAGUACUGACUUAACUUACUUUUAUUUUUCAUUUAAAUAUUCAUGGCUUACUGCAUUAGUAAUAUAUGAAAAUAUAGCUUGUUAGUUCUUAGAAAGGUCAAGUUUCUCUUAACACUUCUAUCUGUAGUCUCUGCCUACUUUAAAUAUGGACCCCAACAUAUAAACCACACAUUGUGGUUUUCAGUGGUCACCAAGAUAUUAAUUUAUAAAACUGUUUUUCUGUAGGCCUCUUCCAUGUACUAAUCUCACAGUAGAGAAUACUCAUCUUUUAUUUAGCUCAGUAUACUUUUCUAGCCCACUUUCCAAUGUUCCAAAGUUUCUAAGUAAUCAACUGUAACUUCCAAUAAUACAAAAAUAGCAUGUCAUUACCAUUAAGCACCAAAUGCAAGGAUUUAAUUUUAAACCAUUUCUCCUUCCCCUGUCUGAAGAAAUGCCUCUGCUAUAAUUUUUAACCUUUCAUCAGCAUAAUUGCUAAAUAAUUAACAAUGGUUAAAUUACGAGAACCUGGGAGAUUUGAAAAUUAUUACUGAAGUGGUGUGUAUUUCACUGAAGCAAUGACCUAUAUGCAUCUGUUUCAAAAUAAAAGCAAUAUAUAUUCACUAGCAGCAGCACAAAUUCAUUUUUUGGGCUAGAUCUUCUGAUAUAUGUGCUUAUGCCUUAGCCAUAGCUGCCUUGGACUUAUGUUAGGGUGUAAAGACCCAUCUCACUGCAAAGCUCUGCUUGUGUGCUGAGGCUGAACUCUCCUUCUCCAAGGUUACCUCAUAAUGCUUUGCAAUGUCUUCAUUUCCACUAAUAGAAAUUACUUAUUACACUGAAUAAGCCAUGGAAAACAAUGUAAAGGCUCUAUAAAACCUUUCUAUUUUUGUAGUAGUUACUUCUGUUAGCUGAGCUGAUUUGCAUUUGCAUGCUGAGCUUUUCUACAGUUUCUCCAAUCUUCUCAAUGAGCUUCAUGUGCUGAUUUUGGAUAUGCCUUUUAUACACCAUUUAGAAGCUGACAGUCAGCCUCUCCAUCCUUUCCAGUCUCUAUGAGUCAUCAGGAUUUACUCACUCUCCUUUGUCUCCUAACCUGGGUAUGCUUAAAAGCUCCACAAAGAUCUCCUGGGAUUCUGAUGACCUGCUAAGCUGGGUCCCGACAUGUGGGCCCUUAUGUCCUCUCCUGCCCUUUGUUCCAGGCACUCCCAUUCAUUCUUCGCUCAUCCAAGCUUAACAUUUCUACUACAGCUCUGUGUAACAAGUAGAGGAACCCAGGGAGGAAUUGGAGGUAUUUACUGGUGGGGGGAAGAGAGUAAGUGUAGGAGAAAUCAUGGGAGCAUGACUUGGACAGCAUAAAUCUGUCAGAAGCCUGGCUGAUCCCUAAAUGAAUUAUUUUUUCAGGACAUUCUGAAGUUCAUCCUUUUCAUAGAUGUUUGACUUCCCAAUAGCUUUUAGCAAAAUCAUGGAAAGUUCUCAGUGACUUUCACUCACCAUUUUGAGAAUGUGGCUAUCUCUUCUAUCUAAUCACAUAUCUGCAUCUUCCCUGUCCACAAUGUUCUUCUUUCCAUGUACCUUUAGGGGAGGAUGUGAUUCUGCAACCAGUGGUUGAUGCAACUACCCUUUGAAUUGCAAUUUCCUCCAAUUUGAUCCAAACAUCUCAAUAGUCACUUCUUUCUUUCCACAUUCUUUCAUCUGUUGUGGUGCCAUUCAUAGUCAGUCAAAUUUUAUUCAAUUUUUUGGCUGAGGGUUUGGGGGAAGUAGUGGCAGAGAGCUUCUUUUGGUUUGUUUUUCUGUUGGAGGUUCCAAGGGACAUAGUUUGCAGAAUUACCAGUAGUGCCUAUGCAAUCCUAAUGACUCUUCACUCCUGUCACUUUAUUUAUGCCUUUGAGCUUUUUAAAUCAGGGGCACCUGGCUGGAAACAAAGUGAAGUGGCUGCCUGAAUGUUUUCACAAAUAAAAGUAAUGUGUCUGGUGCUUCAGCUAAAUCCCCACCACUUCCUCCCAGAGUAUUUAGCACAAGGGUGUUCAGCAGGCUUUGGCUUUGUUAAACACCUGCUCAGAAAAUCUGCUGACUACUGGAGGCCCCAGGAGCACAGCAACCCCUUCAACGCUUGCUUUUGAAAAUGCUGGUCUAACAACAGCACAGCAGUUGAGAUCCUCUUCGAGAAAGUGCUCUAAAUGCAAAUUUUAAUCAAUGCCAUUUCCUCAUAGAUCAGUCCCUCUAGCUUCCUAAUUAUCAGCACCAGCUCUGAAUUGUCAUUAUACUUCUCAUGUUGAUGUCCAGAUUGAAAGUGAUAUCUUCCUGUGCUGCACAGGAAAGGAUUAUCAUUUUGCUGCUCUAUCAGGGAUCUGAGCACACAACAUGAAGCUCAUUAGCACACCUUCCUCUCCUGUGCACAAGGUUCCACCAUUGCAGCUUUCCUACUGUAAAGGUACUUAUUUUUUUAUUCUUCUUUUAAAACAACCCAAAUAAACAAAAACUGCAUGAUGCUUGUGCAGUACUCUCAUGUAUAGCUGUUUUUAAGAAAUGCCAAAAUGAAAGUUGAGCCAACAUCAGCCUUAUUUUAUUACACGGUUCAUAAAUAAUGUGACCAUAACUGCUGUUUCCCUUUAUUCCUGUGUGAACAUUUUUGCAGCCUCCUGAAAAACUGAAAACCUCUAGAUCAAUAAAAAGAAAGUGAGUUUUCACUAGUAUGGCUUACAGGCACCUAAGCUUUCAAUACUACUGUUAAAUAAUUUUCCUCUGCAGCAAAAAAUAUGUGAAAUUUGUUGGCAAGCAAGUGUUCUGUUUUAUAUGUAGCUAGAAUAUAAAAAUAAAGUAUAAUUCCUAUAUUAUAAUUAUUUAGAAAAUAACCACAUGCAUCCUGUUUCUAUUACCAAUAAACAGAGCUGGUUUAUUGAUUUAAUAUGUAAAAAUAAUCUUGUAGGUUGUUUAGUUUCCUUAUGAUUGGAUGUAACCUUGUUACACCUGUUAUAUAUAUAUAUUAUUACUGGUGUUUAUUGUUAAUAUAAUAACAAAAAUGAGAAUAUGAUCAUAUAAAAAACUUAAAUCCUUUUACUGCAAAAAAUGGUAAACAUUUUGCAUGUUUUAGAAAUUUUGGUUCUGAUUCCUUAAAUGGAGAGUCUUAAGACUUUUGCAAAGCAAAGAGAAAUAUCUACAUUUUUGCAUUUAAAUCUGAAAUUAGAAAUGCAAAUUGUAUUUUUAAAAGACUGUAUAGUGGCUCAGCACUCAGGAUACUGUAGUUUAUUAACAACUUUUGGAGGCAUGCUCUGCCAGAGAAGCCUAAAAAUGUAAUUGAAAAAAUGCAUGGUGGCCACUGAUAAAAAUAAGGAUAUUAAUGAAAAUGCAGAAUAGAAAAACUUGAAAUCUAUUCAAGGGCGGGAGGGAAUUUUGAAGCAUAAUGUGGAUUAAAUCCAAAUACAAUGUUUUAUUUACCAACUACAACAACAGAAAGACUUUAGGGUUUUGUUUGUUUUCUGCUUAGCUUUGCUGCUGAUUAACUGCUGCAAAUGUUGAAAAUUGCGUAUCUGUGUCCUACUCCCUGGGAGAAUUUUCAGUUAUGAUCUGGGAUGGAUCCCGUACACUGGCUCUGGGAAGUAAACUGCCUUUGGUAAGAGCAGGUUGGAUCUGAACUCUAAUGUAUGCUUUACAGAACAGAGAUAUCCAAAGCCAGAUUUGUCAGUUUGACUCAUCUUUCCUGCAACUAAAAGCUCAUUGUGCUACUCCAAGAGACUUCUGGUAAUUAGAAAUCUGAUUUUAAAACACUCAUAUACUAACAUGGUUUAUAGGUGAUCUAAAGUCCAGACCUCAGUUCUGCCACACAGUUCUGGAACUACAGAAAUGUGUGAAAUGAGCAGGGAUACUUGUCAGUAGUUGGCCACGUAUACAGGCCUGAUUACAAGAUUUCCAUUCCAGUGAAAAACCGUAUCUAAUUCUGCUGAUAUUUUACUGAACUAAGCAACUUCAUAUACAUAAGUAAUCACCUUGAAACAAGAGCACUAACUGUACUGAUGAGGCUUAGCAGGAGUGGAACAAGAAUUAUGAAAAGGCUUGUCUUCCCCUUCUAUAAAAAAUUGUUGUUUCCUACGUUGGGUUGAAAAUUAAGAAGAAUGAGGGAAGGAGUUGUACAUAACUGCCUGGGAAAUGUCUGUGCAACUUACAAAUUCUGGUUGAUGUCAAAACAUUUCUGUAUUACUAAACAUCACAGUGUAGGUGUAACCUGUACAUGCUACCAGAGGCUGACAUGCUCAAAAAUUGGAAUAUUGGAGUACCCCUGAACUUUGCUGUUGUACUCAGUGCAAAGGCCCUUGAAGAAUUUCACAGCUUGGUUAGGCAAAUUUGUUGGACAACAGCAAAAGGUUUGAAGAGAGGAUUGAUACCAGGAGAGGCACAAUGGACUGACUGAGUAGCCUGAGGGAAGGGCACAUGUGACUUAACAGGAGGGAUUUAUUUUUUUAACUCAAGGUAGAGUACAGUUUGAUGAACACUUCCUUCAGUGAAAGUACUGGAUAAACCAACUUUGCAGAGAGGGAAAGAGGAUGGUUUUGAUUUUGGUCAUUUCUCCAGCCUGGCUCACUGUGUAACUGCACAAAUUAAAAUGCACAACAGAAGGGCAGUGGUGAAGGGGCAGGUGCAAAUUAAGUUAGGGCUUAUCAAACUCUGGCUGAGGUGACCCCCCACGGACGAGAGCCUAUCUGCAGGUGGGAGGAUGCAGGGACACGUGCCAUCUUCUGGCUGACAGAGGCAUGAGUAGACAGGCAGAAUGGGUGUAGCGAGAACACUUUGAGCUAAGCCCAAAGCAUGUUUGGUAGGAGGGAAAGGUAGGGAGGAAACAUAAAUAAGGAAAUGCAUAAUGAAGUUUCUACUGUUAGCUAGAGGCAAAGCUAAGCAGGCUGUUUGCUUCUCUUAUGGCGCAACACUGAAGUGCAAACUCUAGGUAUUAAACAGGCCAUCAAGUUUGAGUUCAGAAAAGGAUUUGAGCUAGUGAGAAUGCUGAGGAAGUUAUAGGGGAAGAGCUGGCACCAGCACUGCUGACAGCAACCAUGGGGCAUAAGGACAUGUUUCUGUGAAAGGGUUAUAGAUGGCCUGGAUGGUACAGCAAUCAGUGAAAACGCUUGGGGCUUGUUUAUCCUCAGGAAGGUUUAAAAGCGUGCUGCUUUUGACUGCACACACUUAGCAUGCUCAUGAAUUUUAAGAAGGAAGGUUCAUUAGGACAAUCUGCUGCAAUGUCAAGAUACAGAAAACUCAAAUGUUUUCUUGCCAGUCCUGAGAAUACCAACUUUCAGUCGGUUUUUUUUUUCACUAUUUUAUUCAAGAUUCAUACAAUAUAGGCAUUCAUAAAUACAGGGCAGCAAAAUAUAAGCAACAUACUUGCUUUUAGAAUAAAAAGGCAAACAGUAGUCUGGCUUUAGUUGCUAUUUAUAACUAGAGGGCACACAUGUUGUAUUUAUGGAUAAAGUACCUAAGAUAGCCACAGUUAUGAAAAAGGGUUUUGGAGAAGAAUUAAUGAAAACCAAUUAUUUUGUAAAAUCAUGGGAAACUAGCGGAGUUCUUGCAAAAUGCAUAAGCAAAACAAUCUCACAGCUCUGUGUUUGCUGCAUUGUUUCAAAUAUAUCAAUAUUCCAAAUAUACUUCUGGUUCAGUUAAACCAAACACUUCAAAAAUCCUGUAUUGUGAGCCUGUGUAGAAGUAAGCAAUAAAAGUCAGAAAUAGUAUCAUCACUUAGCAAGCAAUACAUCCACCAAAGAAGCACAGAACUUAAAAAACCCUAGCUCCAGAUGGCCAUUUCCUUAGGUAUAAUACUGCUUCCUCUUCCAGCUCAAUACACAAACCUGUAAAAGACCACCACAGUUUUUCUGAAAGAUGCAAGCACAUGAUACUGCAAGUAGUUGUUUCUUUUCCAUAAAGUCUGAGAACAAACACGGCAGCUGCAAAAGGAUCCAAACAAACCACACAGAUCAGCUGGCCAGAUUUGAUGGGUAGGUAUAGACAGCUUGUCGUGAUAGUUGUGAGUCAGCAGCUGCAUACCCUGCACUGAACUGUGGGAAGGAAUUCACCUAACCCUGCCUCUCUGAACCUAAAGCAAUUAAAUACUAAGAAAGAAUUAAACUGUAGCUCUUAGUGCUGAAAAGUUAAGUAGAUUUAAAAACCUUUACGACCAUCACAAGAUACUCUUGAAACAAUUAGGUACUCACCAAUAUUUGUUGCAGUAGAAGAAGUCAACUUGUAUACAACAAAAUUAUUAAUACUAACUUUCUUACCUAAUGCAAGUACAGAAAUGUUUUCUCCUCCUUGCCAUGCUCUCAAAGUGGAGUUGUACGCAUGUAUUUGAGCUGCUUCUGACUGUGCUCCCUGUGAUUCCUUUCCUUUUAUCCACGUAUAUUUGAUAAAUUUCCUUACAGUUUGUAGUGCUGAAAGUUUAAUUCAUAGUACAUUGGGUUUUCAACCUGAUCACUGGUACAGUGAAUAUGAGGAGUUUUAACACUGUUUUCUUUAGAAAGGAUCAUUUACUGAAAUAAAAUUUGCUAUGAGUCUCUAAGGGAAGGGAGUUUUAUCUUUUGCAUAUAAAAAUGUAAAUUUUUAUGUUUUGUAAAAUUUUGUUAUGUACAGUAACUCAAUGUGUGAUAACGUUCUUCAACAAUAUUUGUUUUUUAUUAAAGGUUUUCAGCAUUACCUUA